UCAACGGGGGUUUCAAUCCAAGUGACUGACGUCAGCAGCUGCUUCCUGUCCUGUGGAAUCGGCAGACAGCACCGAUGCCAUUCACAGAAGUGGCAAGCGUCUCUGUGCCCACCUGCUGCAUGUCCACGCCAGCACACGGAAAGAACUGGACCAUAAAAACAAAAGUGUUAGCGCAGACCUCCAAGAUGAGUAGAUGAAAUUACAGUGUUAUUUUGAUUUUUUAAUUUGAAUCAAAACCAUAACUUAAAGAAAAGAAGCUUUGAGAAUAAGAGAGAACUUUAGCCUUCCAAACCAUGAAUUACGUUCUUCUUCUAUAACAGACUCCUUGUUUUAAUGAUCCACACACAUCCGUGUGGCUGGUCGCGAGGUAGUGAAGCUUGAUUUAAUUUCCCCAUGAUUCAGACUUGUCCAGACAUGUGUCCUCAAACCGUAUUUGAGGGCAACAAGGGUAAAUAGUCCCCAGACCAGAAGACGUUCCCUCGGUCACCUCCCACUCACCCUGUCUGCUGACCUCCAAGGAAAUUCAGCCCUGCAGUCAACAUCUGUGGUCCAAUCAGCCAGGCUGGAAUAAAAGGAACCUAGUUGUCCAUGCCCUCUACCUCAAAUUGUUCAUAUUCACUGAGGACAGCAAAGCAGAGCAAUUGAAUGCAGUGACACAGGGUCCCAAAAGACCACAGUCUGAAACCAGGCUCUGCCAGGAGCUCGUUAUGUGACCUGCCUCUCAAGUCCUAGUCUCCUCACCUGUAAGAUGGAGAAACUAUGACCAUCAUCACAGUGUGGUUGUGGGAAUUCAAGCAUCUAGUGAACCUGGCACAUGGACCCUUCUGAUUACACUGGACCCACCAGGAUAACCCAGGAUAAUCCCCCUAUCAAGGUCAGCUGUUCAUCAACUUUAACUCCACCUGCAACCUUCAUCCUCCAUCACCAUGUAAGGUAAUAUACUCACAGGUGGGGAUUAGGCUGUGGACAUCUUUGGGGAGACAUUACCUUGCCUGCCACAAUAUGUAAAGUACCUAUUUAGUUCUACAACUUUUCUGUCAUAGAGCUUUUCUUUUUCACUCAAAGCAGUAAGCUCAAUUUUAAAAAGUGAUUUCAAUGCUAAUACAGCAAAUAAGUUUACCUCUUUGUGUUGAAUGCCUUCAUCAGUUCUGGAAUUUGGGAAACUUCUCCAACACCCCCAUUUCACAGAUGAGCAGCUGGGGUCCAGUGGCUCACACGGCAUUUAGUGACAAAUCCAAAACUGGAUUCUGAUGUCCUGCUCCGAGUGAACUGGUGUCUCCUCCACCCCAUCCUACCUUCCUGAAGGCCUUAAGAAUUAUGCUGCAAAAGUGGUGACUCCCCCCUAAUUCCACAGAGUGGGCUGAUCUGCAGCAAGGCCUGGCAUGGCUAAUCAAAACAUGUACAUUUCAGGCAAAAUCAAUAGAAAAGACCAGUACUUAAAAAAAAUUUCCAGGGUAGAAAACGAGUUUGAUCACAAUUCAGAAUAUUUAAUAAAAAUUCUGUCAUGUAUAGAAAAGUGCUUUGGAUUUCUCCCCUGUAUCUUCAAAGGCCUUCAUACAAUGAAACCGUAUCCAUCAAGUUUUUUUUUUUUUAACAUCUUUAUUGGAGUAUAAUUGCUUUACAAUGGUGUGUUAAUUUCUGCUAUAUAACAAAGUGAAUCAGCUAUACAUAUGCAUAUAUCCCCAUAUGUCCUCCCACUUGCAUCUCCCUCCCACCAUCCCUAUCUCACCCUUCUAGGUGGUCACAAAGCACCAAGCUGAUCUCCCUGUGGGUAAGCUGGGAUGAAGUGAGAGAGUGGCAUGGACAUAUAUACACUACCAAAUGUAAAACAGAUAGCUAGUGGGAAGCGGCCGCACCCAUCAAGUUCUGAAGGAAAAAGAUGUUAUCCAAGAUCCUAUGGCCCCAGAAGUUGCCAUUUGUACAUGAGGUACCUGAAUGAUGUUUUCAAAAACCACACAACUAUCCCUGAAUAUAUCUGUUGAGGAUAUACUUCAACUUAAUGAGAGGAAAACAUUGUAACAAUGUAAUAAAACUCAUUAAAAAUAAUAACCAACUCUAAUAUCACAGAUGACACUAAGAAAAACUGGGUAGUGGGUCUGGAUAAAAUGUGGGAACAAAAGACUACUUAUAUCCUCAUUUUAUUGAUACAUAGAAGCUAAUGAGUAAAUAGUGCUUCAUUUUUUAUGUUGAUAGUUUCAGAAAUAUUGAUAUGAGCAUUUAAACAACUUAAGGCAAAUUAUUAGUAGAAUUUAAAACAGAAUCACUAGAGGAAAAAAAGCAAAGAAAACAUACCUAUAUUUAAAAAAAAAAACUUGCUAGGGAAAACACAGGAAGACUUUUUUUUAAAUAAGCAUAAAACAAGAUAAAGACAAUAAAUAAGCACAAUUACGUCAUUAAUAAUAAUAUACGCUCUUCACCUAAACCACCAUAGUAAAAAAUACCUUCCCUCAAAUAGUGAAUGAAUCAAAUUCAACCUAAUGUUAUCUAAAAGCUUUACCACUUUUAAAAAACUGAGAGGUGAGUAUUAUUAAAUGACUCGGCAAAGAUACAGCAGCUAAUGUCAAAAAAAAUUAAAAUGAAUAUAAAGAAAGAAAACAGGGGUUGCCAUAUUCUUUUCAGGCAAUAAAGAAUUAAAAGAAAAAGUUAUUUCUUGGAAUAGUUACAUUAUUUUGGUAAUAAUAAUAAAAUCCAGACAAAAGCAUAAAAGCCAUAUAGUUUUAUGCUCCAAAUAAUAUUCUUUAAAAUACAGCAAUCACACACUGUCAGAGGCACAAAGAGAAGUUAACAGAAACACAGGGUUAGUUAAAGACUUUACUACACUUUCCUCCAUCUCUUACAAAUAUACACAAAUAUAGAUGCCCCAUGGGAAAAAGGGGGGAAGAGAGAAAGAGGUUCAAAUAACAAUAUGAUUGAUUUAUUUGGUUUACAGCAAAAGCUGUGUAUGAAGAAGAACAGGAAAAUAUAUUUCCUAUAAGUUUACAAUGAAUUUUCAAAGUAGUACUUAUACAUUAUGCUAUAUAUGCUCAUAAACUCAAAAACACACAGGUCCAGAUUCUCGCACCAAAAAUGAUUGCAGUGAAAAUCAAACUCAUCAUUAAGGAUUAUUUAGAAAAUAAUGAGAGUGAAAACAGAAUCUGUCAAAAUAUCUGGAAUGCUGGCAAAGUUAUACACUAAAGCAGAUUCAUAACAUGUUAGCCUUUUAUUAGGAAACCAGAAAGAAUGAAAAUUACUUGUUCAGUUAAAAAAUGGAAAUACAAAAAAAAAACUUAAGUAAAACAAAAGGAGCAAAAAAAUAACAGCAGAAAUUAAUGAAUUAGAAAACAUAUAAAUACUAGAAUAAACACUUCUAAGAUCUGGUUCUGUGUAGAAAAAAAAUUACCCAUCAAACGGUUUGCAGGUCUAGUCAAAUAGAAAACAGAAAAUAUAAAUAUAUAAAAUUAGAAAUAAAAAAUGGACAUGACCAAAUAUGUAAGUAAAAUUGUAUAAAAUCUUAUUUUGACAAAUUAGCAAACUGAGUAAGCACGAUGAUUUUUGAAGAAAAUAUAAAGGAUGUAAAAAGCUUAGAGGGGGGAGACAAAGCAUCUUACUAAAAGGCAAUUAAAAUGCGCCAUUCUUUGUUGAAAAAGUGUAUCUCCCUGAGUAAUUAGCAUCUAUUGUGCAUUGAACAAUGGUUUGUUAGCAGAAUUCUAUUACAUCGGUUGUAGGUGGCCAUCCUGUAAAGUGAAUCAACAUAAUGGGGAGCUCCCUGCUUUAAAAAAAAUGUUCACUUUCACAGGUAUCGGUCUAAUUUAAUGCUGUGACAAUAUUAAUGAUUAAAAUUUUAAGCAAUUUUCAAAGUCUUUCCACUGAAUUCAUCACAGACUUGCUGAAGACUAAAGAACGAUCAAGGCAUGGUAAGGGGUUCCUGCAACCAUUUUUACUGUCAGAGGUCAUCCACUUGCCUUGAAACCCAACACUGUGCCUUACUUAGGGUUGGUCCUCCAUAAACAGGAGCUGAGCUGAAGUGUAUGAGUGAGAUGCUGAAUGAGAGGCUCUGACAAUAAAAAGUUGGAUGUCCUUUCAUCCCGAUGAGACUCAGUUUCCUCAUCUGUAAUCUGGAUAACAUGAAACCUGUUUUAAUGUGGAAAAACCUGUAAACUGCAAUGGACCGUGACGAACAUGGAAGGAAUCCUUCUUUAGUGCAUUUAGAACCUUCCUGAGCCAGCUCCUUCUGACAUCUUCAUCACAGAAUAUCUGUGACAUCACCCAAUGUACUUAACAGUUGGUCCCUAAAACUGAACUGAAACUCAUUACUAACAUUCUUAUUUUGUUUUCUCUGCUGAUUGCACUCACCUACUUAGCUACCCCUUGUUCACUAUUCACCAGGGGAUGGGCCAUCUGGAAUGAUUAUUUUAUCUCUUAUAUACCCAACAGGAGGGUAGUUAAAGCUCAAAACUUUAUGUGAUGAUUCUUUCAUCCUUAGUCAUAACCCUCUACAAUUGCUCGGGAGUGAUGGCUAUAGAGCCCAUAAGUGUGAGAUCACUCCAGGCCACUCUUCUAACCUCUAAAUGGAGUCAGUCCUGAGGGAUGGAUAGAAUUUCACUGUUUUCCCAUUUCGUUUGUAUAAUGAAAUCAUUGUUUGGCCUUCGUUCUGUACUUUUGCCCUUUUCGGUCUUAAGGUGGACUCUUCAGUAGCCCCCUCCAAUGUCUGUAGGAAAACUAGGAAUUUUAAAUGUACUCUCAUCAAAUUUCAAGAACUUGAUUUUUUUUCCCUUAAAUAUAGCAUACCAAAUAAAUUCCCUACCUCACAGAUAAUAUAUUAUACAUUUGUUAUUUGUUUACUUGUAUUUAUAUGCACAUAGAAGUGAAUGGAUGUAUAAAUCUGUAAUGUGUGAACUUGACAAAAUUCAAAUCAUCACCUGAAAAUGAAUCACUUAUUGUCACUAAUCAGGUCAUAUUAUCAUAUUAUUGUAUUGUGAUCACAUUUACGCCAACGAGCACCAGAACUUUAGCCUUACCUGGAAUCAGCUGAGGCCCUUGUUAAAAUAGAUAUUAGCAAACCUCACCCCAGAAUUACUGAAUCAGACUCUGGUUAUGAGGCUCAGAAUUGGCGUUCUUAGAAAAUAUUGAGAAAGCAUUGAAGUGGAGAACUUGUUCAGCCUGGUUCCUGAAUGACACCUGUAUUUCCAACUCUUUUAUGGGGAAUCUAAUGUUUAUCCCAGAGUCCCUAAAAGGACAAGCUCCCACCUAGACUUUGUUAACGUAGUUCCAGAUGGCAGCUUCCAGACACAAUCUGGCUUCAUAUCCCACCCUCAGAAGUUGGAACCUAUAGGAUCUCAGGACAGUUGGGAUCUUCUCUGUGAUGGAGCAAAAUGGUGGGGUUUUCCAGUAACUCUAUUUACCAUCAGCUUUGUGCCCUCCUUUUUCCCUAAAAAAAAAAAAAACCUUUAUUUGAUCACCAUUACAUUUUAUUUCCCUGAAACAAGUUUUACUGACGUCAUAUCUCAUGAAAUUUAAGGCGAUUCUCCAGUUUGAGAUAUCAUUGACUAUCCUAGAAAUGGUGGUCUAAAAUCACAAAGAUUGGCUGUGAUAACUAGAAAACUCCCACAUAGAGUCAACAAGUAGUUGCUGGAUCACCACGUCCUCUAUUUCUCUCCUUCAUCUAUCAACCCUUUGGAAGAAGAAUAUAGCAUAUUCACGGGAGUGAAGAAAGCACUGCAUUUUUUCUGAAUUUAGCCAAAAUGUUGAUACUGACCUGAGGCAGAAACAAAAUGGGAGACCUCUAUCUAACCAGUCAUUCAUUAUUCUCUAUUCUCUACUUUUUUAAAAAUUUUAGGAUGAGAAGUAAUUUAAACAGUCAUAUGCAAUCGUACUCUCUGGAGUCCACUGAGUCCAUGCGAUGAUUCAUAACCAUUAUCUCACCAACACAAGAUAUUUCUUUAGAGUGGUGACAUUAUCUUACUGACCCAUCACUUCUUUUCCCCAACAGUGACUUGCCAUACGACCUUGGGUGAGUAACUGACUAUCUGUGGCCAGGAGCUCGUAUCUAUCCCAGUGUAAGAAGACAAAUGACUUACAACCAGUGAGGAUUUGAGGACUCAUAAAUGGAACCCAAAUUUCACUUAAGUAACAAAUAGAGACACUAGUUAAUGCCUGUAGAGGAAGCUUUCCUCUAAGAUAUGUACAGAUAGAGAAGAAGUUGUCAAUCUGUCUGGCUCCAGAUGUAUCCAUCCCUAACCAGUGAAACAAACUUAAGUCCAGGAAAAAGGAAUUUGUUUCUGAGUUGGAACUUCAUUUCAGUGGCUAUGGAAAGGAAUAGCUAAUAACAGUCUUCUCUCUCUUAAUAUAAAUCAAUAGAAUCUCUUGUAUGAUGAAUAAAAAUUAGAACAGCUCUAGGAAGCACAUACAUGUCAGUGUUGUCCUCUAGGUAAUACAACACACACACACAUUCACAUCCCACCUAUUUUUAUACACACCUGCACACUUACAAAUUUGGCACCAUGAUGGCUCAACCAAUGUAUCUGAAUCAUCCGCACAAAAAAUUGAUUUUAGUGCAAGUACAUUCUUAAGAAAAUAAUCAUAUAGCCAGCUACUUUCAACCAGCACUUGGAACUGAGUAUAACAUUUCUCUUUAAGUUUUAGAUGUCCUAAUUCAAAAGAAAAGUGUAAAGAUCCAACAGAUUUUUCUUUUCCAUUUCAUGGCAGAUGCUUGGUUGUUGAAGAAUUUUUUGUCAGCCUUUUCUUACCAACUCACUUAGAGGGCUAACUCUUGUUUAGAUGAGAAAAUGUUCACCUGUGAUGUGGAAGACAGGAUACUGGACUCUUGAAAUGUCCAUCAGCAGGUAUAGUGGCCAGAUAAUGCCAGGUUAAGAGAGUAGCCUUCACAACUGGUUAUUUAUGGAAUAAAUAGAGGUAAAGUUUUGGAAAUCAAUUUGUUGGUUCAUAACAAAACUCCCCCAAUAUUAAAUGUUGGGCAACAAGAAGGAGAGUUGUUGAGUAGAUUACAGGAUGUUCACUUGAUGUAAAUACCACAGUGUUAAGCAAGAAGCCUGAUUAACAAACAGAAAGAUGCUCAUGGCAUCAUGUUAAGUGAAAAAGUCAACAUACAAAUCAAUGGAUCAGAGGAGAAAAGUCCUAAAUAAAUUAACACAUUUAUGGAAAUUUAGUUUGAGGCAAAGAUGACAAUUCAGAUUAAUGGAAAAAUAAGGUAUUAUCUAACCAAUAGUGUUGAGACAACUAAGAAGCUACCUGAAAAAGUGUAAUCCUCCCUCAUACUUAUACCAAUAUAAAGUCCAGAAGAAUGAUAGAAAAUUAUACUGUAAAAGCACUAGGACAAAGCAUAGAUAAAUAUUAUAUUCUCAAAAUGAAAAAUUCUUUCCAACUAUAACAUAAAACCUGGAAGACAAUAAAAAAAUUGAUCAAUCCAACUAUGUAAAAGUAUGCUUUUAUAUGCCCUUCUACCCUGAACAAACAUUAUAAACAAAGUCAGAAGACAGUAUACAGAGAAAAUAUUUACAGCUCUUAAUAUAAAGGGCUAACUGAUAUAUGAGUCCUUUAAAAUCAAUAUUUAAAAAAACUCUGUUGAAAAUGGGCAGACGUUAGCAAAAAAAUUAUAGAAAAUAAAUAUGAUGGCUUUUAGUUGUGCAGAAAGUUUCUCAACUUCACUUAUACUAAGAAACAGACAAGUUCAAACUUUAAGAAGAUACAGUACUGUGUUUUACCUAUCAGGUUAACAAAGACCAAGAACGACAUGUUAUGGGAUAGUGACAUAUUCAUCGCUGGUUGGAGUAUAAGUUGGGAAAUCUCUUGGAAGUCGAUCAAAAUACACUAUGCAAGUACUGUUUGACCCAGCAAUUCCAUUCCCAUGAAUUUCUCAUGAAGGUGGCAAUUUAAAGUUUCUAUACUCUAAAUUCAAGAAAGGAAAAAGAUGACUGUUCUUUGGCCAUAGUCCUAAGACAUAAACAAGUCACCACUACAACUUUUUUCAAAGCCAUUUCAAUCAGCGAAAAUUCAGUUUAGUAACUGCACUUCUUAAAGGCACAUGCAAAAUGCCAAGGUUCCGCAGCUGAAGGUCAACCAAUCCUUAAGCACUCUUGCUUCUGGAAGUCUGUCAAUCCCUGGACUCAGUGCUUCCCAAACCCUAUGUAAGAUCAGCUUUUGCUUUGUUCUGAUAGAACUGUAUCCCAUAAGCACUCUUUUCCCUUGUUUAACAAGAAAUAAACUGUUUAUU